ACCAAAACUUUUCUAUUACUUUCCCAGAAUUGCCAUGAUUUCUCCCUACAUUGCUCCAAUAUGUAGUGCUUUCUCCAGUCCUGUUGCAGCAUUUUAAUAGAAAGAAGGAGCAGUGAUACUAUGAGCUGUUUUGGAACCCCCACCUUUAGGUUUAAAAAGUAGAUGGCAUUUUUAUCUCAAAUAUGACACUGCUUGAAAAAUAGCUGUGCUCUGAAAAACUUCAUUCUUUCCCUUAAAUGACAGGAUGUGAAUAUCUCUGAAGGUUUCUAGACACUGAAAUGGUAUAUGCACUGUAACUAAGCUAUAAUGAUAACAAAAAAGCUGCUUUCCAAAAGGGCAAGUGGAGGACAGGGCAAAAGCCUUUUAAGAUUUGUUAGUUCAUACUAAACCACUUGCCCAUCAUUCUUUUGUUGCCUUUGAAAAUGGCUAUUGUUCUGAUGUGCAGGGGUAGCGGCACUUGUGUCAUGAUGCCCUUGGGCAGUUGUGAGUUGCAGUGAAUUGCCAGCCACGGGAGGAAGAAAACAUCUUUUAAAACUCUGUGCUCAUUAUGUUUCUUGUGGCAGUGUAAAAGGCUUCUGAUGCCUCCCCUUUCCUCCAGGAGUUCUCAGGAAUAACUGCUGAUAUGCUGGCAUCUUAGGAGCAACUCUACUUUUCUUUCUGUUACCUGGAUAAGGAGGCUCCCUUGCCAGUGGGGCAGUGUUCAGUGCCCAAAACAGAGAGUAUUCAGUAAAUCCUGGUUCCUGGACAUCCUUUCAUUUUAUUUCUGUAGAGGGCAGAAACUCCUUCCUUCAGGCUCCUUACAGGCAAACACAAAUAAG
rnacentral:lncRNA from 1 species